GGGGAUAUGGCGGAAUGGUAGACGCUACGGACUU
rnacentral:tRNA from 1 species